GAUGAACGCUGGCGGCGUGCCUAAUACAUGCAAGUCGAACGAGGUGCUUUUGUAGCAAUACGAGAGUAUCCUAGUGGCGAACGGGUGAGUAACGCGUUGGUGACCCGCCCCAAAGUGUGGGAUAACAGUCCGAAAGGAUUGCUAAUACCUCAUGUGGCCAUCGGGUUUAGAAACCGAUGUCUAAAGCAGCAAUGCGCUUUGGGAGGGACCUGCGUCCCAUCAGCUAGUUGGUGAGGUAACGGCCCACCAAGGCUACGACGGGUAGGGGGCCUGAGAGGGUGGCCCCCCACAAUGGAACUGAAACACGGUCCAUACACCUACGGGUGGCAGCAGUAGGGAAUAGUGCACAAUGGGCGAAAGCCUGAUGCAGCAACGCCGCGUGAGCGAUGAAGGCCUUCGGGUCGUAAAGCUCUUUUCUGGGAGAUGAGAAAGGACAGUAUCCCAGGAAUAAGUCUCGGCUAACUACGUGCCAGCAGCCGCGGUAAAAC
rnacentral:rRNA from 1 species